AGGCCAGUAGCUCAAUCGGCAGAGCGGCGGUCUCCAAAACCGCAGGUUGGGGGUUCGAUUCCCUCCUGGCCUG
rfam:Nitrosococcus oceani ATCC 19707, complete genome.